rnacentral:misc_RNA from 1 species
GUGGGAGCCAGCCUGCUGGCGAUAGCGGAGUGUCAGUCAUUAUCGAUGUGACUGACACACCUCAAUCGCCAGCAGGCUGGCUCCCAC